rnacentral:rRNA from 1 species
AAUCUGCCCGAGAGUGGGGAACAACUCCUCGAAAGAGGAGCUAAUACCGCAUACGGUCUCCUGGUGAAACGGGAAGACGAAAGCUUCUGCAAAGAGGCGCUCUUGGAGGAGCCUGCGGCUGAUUAGCUAGUUGGUGGGGUAAAGGCCUACCAAGGCGAUGAUCAGUAGCUGGUCUGAGAGGAUGGACAGCCACACUGGGACUGAGAUACGGCCCAG